rnacentral:rRNA from 1 species
GAUGAACGCUGGCGGCGUGCCUAAUACAUGCAAGUCGAGCGAACGGACGAGAAGCUUGCUUCUCUGAUGUUAGCGGCGGACGGGUGAGUAACACGUGGAUAACCUACCUAUAAGACUGGGAUAACUUCGGGAAACCGGAGCUAAUACCGGAUAAUAUUUUGAACCGCAUGGUUCAAAAGUGAAAGACGGUCUUGCUGUCACUUAUAGAUGGAUCCGCGCUGCAUUAGCUAGUUGGUAAGGUAACGGCUUACCAAGGCAACGAUGCAUAGCCGACCUGAGAGGGUGAUCGGCCACACUGGAACUGAGACACGGUCCAGACUCCUACGGGAGGCAGCAGUAGGGAAUCUUCCGCAAUGGGCGAAAGCCUGACGGAGCAACGCCGCGUGAGUGAUGAAGGUCUUCGGAUCGUAAAACUCUGUUAUUAGGGAAGAACAUAUGUGUAAGUAACUGUGCACAUCUUGACGGUACCUAAUCAGAAAGCCACGGCUAACUACGUGCCAGCAGCCGCGGUAAUACGUAGGUGGCAAGCGUUAUCCGGAAUUAUUGGGCGUAAAGCGCGCGUAGGCGGUUUUUUAAGUCUGAUGUGAAAGCCCACGGCUCAACCGUGGAGGGUCAUUGGAAACUGGAAAACUUGAGUGCAGAAGAGGAAAGUGGAAUUCCAUGUGUAGUGGUGAAAUGCGCAGAGAUAUGGAGGAACACCAGUGGCGGAGGCGACUUUCUGGUCUGUAACUGACGCUGAUGUGCGAAAGCGUGGGGAUCAAACAGGAUUAGAUACCCUGGUAGUCCACGCCGUAAACGAUGAGUGCUAAGUGUUAGGGGGUUUCCGCCCCUUAGUGCUGCAGCUAACGCAUUAAGCACUCCGCCUGGGGAGUACGACCGCAAGGUUGAAACUCAAAGGAAUUGACGGGGACCCGCACAAGCGGUGGAGCAUGUGGUUUAAUUCGAAGCAACGCGAAGAACCUUACCAAAUCUUGACAUCCUUUGACAACUCUAGAGAUAGAGCCUUCCCCUUCGGGGGACAAAGUGACAGGUGGUGCAUGGUUGUCGUCAGCUCGUGUCGUGAGAUGUUGGGUUAAGUCCCGCAACGAGCGCAACCCUUAAGCUUAGUUGCCAUCAUUAAGUUGGGCACUCUAAGUUGACUGCCGGUGACAAACCGGAGGAAGGUGGGGAUGACGUCAAAUCAUCAUGCCCCUUAUGAUUUGGGCUACACACGUGCUACAAUGGACAAUACAAAGGGCAGCGAAACCGCGAGGUCAAGCAAAUCCCAUAAAGUUGUUCUCAGUUCGGAUUGUAGUCUGCAACUCGACUACAUGAAGCUGGAAUCGCUAGUAAUCGUAGAUCAGCAUGCUACGGUGAAUACGUUCCCGGGUCU